CUUUGUCCCCAUUGUCCCCUGUAAAGAUCCUAUAGCUGUGACAGGCUGUGAAAAUCUCAGUUUCAAUCCCAGCAAAGCACCAUCUACCAGAGAGCUGUGGGCAUGGGCCGCUAUGCUCUCCUAUCACCAGAGGAUCAUCCCUUCUACACUGAUGCCCUUCUUCUUUGUGAUGCCUGCUGCCAGCCAGCAAUUCAGAUGCCUGGAAGUGCAUAGCAUCAUUCAUGAUAAGACUGCUUGCUGUGAUUAGCCUUAUGCCUUAAACCAUGUAUAAAAAUUCAUUUUAAAUGUUCUUUAAAACCCAUAAAACAUCCAUAUUGACUCGGGGCUGCCAAGC